rnacentral:rRNA from 1 species
GAUUGAACGCUGGCGGCAGGCCUAACACAUGCAAGUCGAGCGGAUGAAGGGAGCUUGCUCCUGGAUUCAGCGGCGGACGGGUGAGUAAUGCCUAGGAAUCUGCCUGGUAGUGGGGGAUAACGUCCGGAAACGGGCGCUAAUACCGCAUACGUCCUGAGGGAGAAAGUGGGGGAUCUUCGGACCUCACGCUAUCAGAUGAGCCUAGGUCGGAUUAGCUAGUUGGUGGGGUAAAGGCCUACCAAGGCGACGAUCCGUAACUGGUCUGAGAGGAUGAUCAGUCACACUGGAACUGAGACACGGUCCAGACUCCUACGGGAGGCAGCAGUGGGGAAUAUUGGACAAUGGGCGAAAGCCUGAUCCAGCCAUGCCGCGUGUGUGAAGAAGGUCUUCGGAUUGUAAAGCACUUUAAGUUGGGAGGAAGGGCAGUAAGUUGAUACCUUGCUGUUUUGACGUUACCAACAGAAUAAGCACCGGCUAACUUCGUG